CCUACGGGAGGCAGCAGUGAGGAAUAUUGGUCAAUGGACGAGAGUCUGAACCAGCCAAGUAGCGUGAAGGAUGACUGCCCUAUGGGUUGUAAACUUCUUUUAUAAAGGAAUAAAACGAGGCACGUGUGCCUUUUUGCAUGUACUUUAUGAAUAAGGAUCGGCUAACUCCGUGCCAGCAGCCGCGGUAAUACGGAGGAUCCGAGCGUUAUCCGGAUUUAUUGGGUUUAAAGGGAGCGUAGAUGGGUUGUUAAGUCAGUUGUGAAAGUUUGCGGCUCAACCGUAAAAUUGCAAUUGAUACUGGCAGUCGUGAGUACAGUUGAGGUAGGCGGAAUUCGGGGUGUAGCGGUGAAAUGCUUAGAUAUCACGAAGAACCCCGAUUGCGAAGGCAGCUUACUAAACUGUGACUGACAUUGAUGCUCGAAAGUGUGGGUAUCAAACAGGAUUAGAUACCCUUGUAGUC
rnacentral:rRNA from 1 species